UUCAAUACUGUGCAGCAAUGCACGGUGUGCACUUUUCUCUUAGUCAGACGUUGUGAUCCAUUAGGAAUUGAUGUUCGCGCAUCGUUGGGCCACCAAUAGGCCGACGCGAAGUUCAUCGAUGACAAAUAGUGCGGCCGUCUAUGGCCGUACAUAUUGUUUGGUGAGCGCGUCGUGUUCUGGUGUGGCUGCCUGAUGGGUUUUAAAGGCCAUAUCAAUGGUGCUUGCCACCACCCUGCUUCGCGGCGGGGAAUUAAGCAUAUGUGCCCGAUCGACAACGGUUCAAUUUGGGAUACCUUUGGGACCCGUCUUGAAACACGGACCAAGGAGUCUAUCUAGUAUGCAAGUAAAUGGGUAUCGAAUUAAACCUAUUUGCGUAAAUAACUUGACUGUUUUUAAUGGGACUACGACUCGUUUCGAGCAAUCAAACGGUCCUCCAUCCCGGGGUAUUUUCACAACAUAUACCUGUUCCUUUUGCGGGUUCUGGGCUAUAUAGAAAAUAUACCAUGAGCAUACUGGAUAUGACCCGAAAGAUGGUGAACUAUGCCUGAUCAGGUUGAAGUCAGGGGAAACCCUGAUGGAGGACCGAAGCAAUUCUGACGUGCAAAUCG
rnacentral:rRNA from 1 species